rnacentral:sRNA from 1 species
AGCAGCCGCGGUAAUUCCAGCUCCAAUAGCGUAUAUUAAAGUUGUUGCAGUUAAAAAGCUCGUAGUUGAAUUUCGGGGUUAGUAGGUUGGUCAUGCCUCUGGUAUGUACUGGUCUCACUGAUUCCUCCUUCCUGAUGAACCUUAAUGCCAUUAAUUUGGUGUUUUGGGGAAUUUGGACUGUUACUUUGAAAAAAUUAGAGUGUUUAAAGCAAGCUAACGCUUGAAUACAUUAGCAUGGAAUAAUGAAAUAGGACGUUCGAUCCUAUUUUGUUGGUUUCUAGGGUUGACGUAAUGAUUAAUAGGGAUAGUUGGGGGCAUUAGUAUUCAAUUGUCAGAGGUGAAAUUCUUGGAUUUAUUGAAGACUAACUACUGCGAAAGCAUUUGCCAAGGAUGUUUUCAUUAAUCAAGAACGAAAGUUAGGGGAUCGAAGACGAUCAGAUACCGUCGUAGUCUUAACCAUAAACUAUGCCGACUAGGGAUCGGAUGAUGUUAAUUUUUUAAUGACUCAUUCGGCGCCUUA